GACAGAGGAGCCAAGCGUUGUCCGGACUGACUGGGCGUAAAGCGCACGCAGGCGGCGCUGCGCGUGGGGUGUGAAAGCUCUUGGCUUAACUGAGAGAGGCCAUCCCAUACGGCAGUGCUCGAGCGGUGCAGAGGUCCGCGGAAUUGCCGGUGUAGUGGUGAAAUGCGUAGAUAUUGGGAAGAACACCUGAGGCGAAGGCGGGUUGCUGGGCUGAUACUGACGCUGAGGCGCGAAAGCCAGGGGAGCAAACGGG
rnacentral:rRNA from 1 species